rnacentral:rRNA from 1 species
GAUGAACGCUGGCGGCGUGCCUAAUACAUGCCAGUCGAGCGAACAGACGAGGAGCUUGCUCCUCUGACGUUAGCGGCGGACGGGUGAGUAACACGUGGAUAACCUACCUAUAAGACUGGGAUAACUUCGGGAAACCGGAGCUAAUACCGGAUAAUAUAUUGAACCGCAUGGUUCAAUAGUGAAAGACGGUUUUGCUGUCACUUAUAGAUGGAUCCGCGCCGCAUUAGCUAGUUGGUAAGGUAACGGCUUACCAAGGCAACGAUGCGUAGCCGACCUGAGAGGGUGAUCGGCCACACUGGAACUGAGACACGGUCCAGACUCCUACGGGAGGCAGCAGUAGGGAAUCUUCCGCAAUGGGCGAAAGCCUGACGGAGCAACGCCGCGUGAGUGAUGAAGGUCUUCGGAUCGUAAAACUCUGUUAUUAGGGAUGAACAAAUGUGUAAGUAACUAUGCACGUCUUGACGGUACCUAAUCAGAAAGCCACGGCUAACUACGUG